UGGCUUCCUGUCUGCUUCCCAUCUCCCUGCAGUACUGUGUGGUAGAUUUGAACUGGAGCUGCCCAGGCCAUUAUGGAGUCUGUAAGCACCAAGGCAAGGUGGAACCCUCAUGGCUCAGGCACAUCAUUUUCGAUAAUUAAGUCACAGUGGACUUUUGGAGAACUCUGCUGAAUGAUUGAGAGUCUGUGUACAGCUGGGCCUACUAACAAACUCGGUGCUAGUCCAAGGAGGAUUCCUCUGCCUUGAAUAAACGAGUCGUGUAGAGAAUGAAAUCACAGGUCUGUUCCAGGUAUUGAGGACUGCCAAGGUACACUCUCUCGUCUCCUCCUAUCUCCCAUGACUACAUCUAUGGACUGGCACAGCAGGCAAUGCUCUUUUGGUUAACCUUACCACCUUCUUCCAGUUUCCAAGGGACAAAACAGCAGCAAAAGAAUCUUCCAGAAUAGGUACAAUUUUUGAAUUGUUUCUUUUCCUGAGCUUUGCUGCUUUUAUUACUUGAAGUCAAAUAGAAACAAAAAUAGAAGCAGCGAGAAUAGUGGUCAUUCUCGUCUCAAUACCAGAACUGUAAUAACAUGCAAGUGGCAGAGGAGGAACAUGCAAAUGGAAAAGAGGGGAAGUGCCUCAGUUAAAUCAUCCUCCCCCUCACCCAUUCAGAAUAUGGGCAUUCAGAAGUACAUGGGUUUGAUACUGUGCUGCAGGUGUCAUUCACAUCAAGUAGUAGUAUGCACUGAUAAUCUGCUAAUCACUUCAGUGUUUAUGGUUCCUGAAAGCCUGGAUUUAAAUUUCUCAAAAAUCCUAGUGGAGAUAAGAUUGGUAAAAC